UACGUAGGGACCGAGCGUUGUCCGGAAUCAUUGGGCGUAAAGAGCGUGUAGGCGGCCACUUAAGUCCUGCGUGAAAUCUUGCGGCUCAACCGCAAGCGGUCGUGGGAAACUGGGUGGCUAGAGUGCGGGAGAGGAGAGUGGAAUUCCUGGUGUAGCGGUGAAAUGCGCAGAUAUCAGGAAGAACACCCGUGGCGAAGGCGGCUCUCUGGGACGGUACUGACGCUGAGACGCGAAAGCGUGGGGAGCGAACAGG
rnacentral:rRNA from 1 species